rnacentral:siRNA from 1 species
UGGCUCUCGUGCCACAACACAC